GCGGUGGUAGUUCAGCUGGUUAGAAUACAUGCCUGUCACGCAUGUGGUCGCGGGUUCGAGCCCCGUCCACCGCG
rnacentral:tRNA from 1 species